rnacentral:ncRNA from 1 species
GUAUUUACGGUUUUUCCUAUCGGAGAAUUAAAAGGGAAUGCGGUUAGAAUCCGCAGCAGUCCCCGCUACUGUAAAAAUGACGAAAGCUCACAUUGUCACUGACUUCGGUCGGGAAGACGAGCUGUUAGGUUGAAUUUGAGCCAGGAGACCUGCCGUAUUUAC